UACAGAGGAUGCAAGCGUUAUCCGGAAUGAUUGGGCGUAAAGCGUCUGUAGGUGGCUUUUUAAGUCCGCCGUCAAAUCCCAGGGCUCAACUCUGGACAGGCGGUGGAAACUGUCGAGCUAGAGUCCGGAAGAGGCGAGUGGAAUUCCUGGUGUAGCGGUGAAAUGCGCAGAUAUCAGGAGGAACACCAAUGGCGAAGGCAGCUCGCUGGGACGGUACUGACACUGAGACGCGAAAGCGUGGGGAGCAAACAGG
rnacentral:rRNA from 1 species